rnacentral:rRNA from 1 species
GAUGGUAGGGCUUCGGUCUUGCUUUCUGCCCUUCUCUUACUGAUUAUACCCAUGUCUUUUGCGUACUAUUUGUUUCCUUGGUGGGCUUGCCUGCCGAUAGGACAUCAUUAAACCUUUUGUAAUUGCAGUCAGCGUCAGAAAAACAUAAUAAUUACAACUUUCAACAACGGAUCUCUUGGUUCUGGCAUCGAUGAAGAACGCAGCGAAAUGCGAUAAGUAGUGUGAAUUGCAGAAUUCAGUGAAUCAUCGAAUCUUUGAACGCACAUUGCGCCCCUUGGUAUUCCAUGGGGCAUGCCUGUUCGAGCGUCAUUUGUACCCUCAAGCUCUGCUUGGUGUUGGGUGUUUGUCCCGCUUUUCGCGUGGACUCGCCUUAAAACAAUUGGCAGCCGGCAGAUUGGCCUGGAGCGCAGCACAUUUUGCGCCUCUUGUCAUGAUUGUUGGCAUCCAUCAAGACUAUUUUUUACUCUUGACCUCGGAUCAGGUAGGGAUACCCGCUGAACUUAAGCAUAUCAAA